rnacentral:tRNA from 1 species
ACCUUCGUGGUGUAAUGGUCAGCACACUCGGCGCGUAUUCUAGAGGUCCAGGUUCGAGUCCUGGGGAGGGCA